UUGCAAUAGAAAUGAAGGCUCUCGUGGUCAUGCUUUUGGCGACCGGCUUGCUUUUGACAGCUGACGCUGUCAAGAAGCACCGACGCGUUCAAGGAGGUGGGUUCUCUUGGGACCAUCGCCGAAGUGCUGGAAUGUGGAAUGACAGCCCCAGAUGGCCAGGAUGAGAUCCCAGAUGUCAUCCAGGCCAAAUGACGUUGAUGCCCUUGAGGACGGGGACGAUAACACUGACGAGAUGCCUGGUGUUUAUAGGAUUGAAGAACCUUGCCGAGAGAUGGAAUGUGGGGCUGGCCGUGAAUGCUGGUUCAAUGAGGAGUCCGAAGAGGGUGGAAUGUCGGUGUAUUGUGGAAUGUGGCCGUGAGAAUGAUCCUCGUCGACAAGUGAGUUC